rnacentral:tRNA from 1 species
GAGGGUAAAGCUCAAUAGAGUGUGUGCUUAGCAUGCAUGAGGUCCUAGGUUCAAUCCCCAGUACCUCCA